rnacentral:tRNA from 1 species
GGGGGCAUAGCUCAGCUGGGAGAGCACCUGCUUUGCAAGCAGGGGGUCGUCUGUUCGAUCCCGUCUGCCUCCACCA